rnacentral:rRNA from 1 species
UAGGGAAUCUUCGGCAAUGGGGGCAACCCUGACCGAGCAACGCCGCGUGAGUGAAGAAGGUUUUCGGAUCGUAAAGCUCUGUUGUAAGUCAAGAACGAGUGUGAGAGUGGAAAGUUCACACUGUGACGGUAGCUUACCAGAAAGGGACGGCUAACUACGUGCCAGCAGCCGCGGUAAUACGUAGGUCCCGAGCGUUGUCCGGAUUUAUUGGGCGUAAAGCGAGCACAGGCGGUUUGAUAAGUCUGAAGUUAAAGGCUGUGGCUCAACCAUAGUUCGCUUUGGAAACUGUCAAACUUGAGUGCAGAAGGGGAGAGUGGAAUUCCAUGUGUAGCGGUGAAAUGCGUAGAUAUAUGGAGGAACACCGGUGGCGAAAGCGGCUCUCUGGUCUGUAACUGACGCUGAGGCUCGAAAGCGUGGGGAGCGAACAGGAUUAGAUACCCUGGUAGUCCACGCCGUANCGAUGAGUGCUAGGUGUUGGAUCCUUUCCGGGAUUCAGUGCCGCAGCUAACGCAUUAAGCACUCCGCCUGGGGAGUACNACCGCAAGGUU